ACGGAGGGUGCAAGCGUUGUCCGGAUUUAUUGGGUUUAAAGGGUGCGUAGGCGGUCUUUUAAGUCAGUGGUGAAAGCCUCCAGCUUAACUGGAGAAUUGCCAUUGAUACUGGAAGACUUGAGUACAGACGAGGUAGGCGGAAUUUAUGGUGUAGCGGUGAAAUGCAUAGAUACCAUAAAGAACUCCUAUUGCGAAGGCAGCUUACUAGGCUGUAACUGACGCUGAGGCACGAAAGCGUGGGGAUCAAACAGGA
rnacentral:rRNA from 1 species